rnacentral:lncRNA from 1 species
UUUUAAAGAUUUUAUUUAUUUAUUUGACAGAGUGAGAGAGAGCAAGCACAAGCAAGGGGAGCGGGAAAAGCAGAAGCAGGCUCCCCUCUGAGCAGGCAGCUGAUGUGGAUGCAGGGCUCCAUCCCAGGUGCCCGGGAUCAGGACCUGAGCUGAAGGCAGACGCUCAACCGACUGAGCCACGGAGGCGCCCCUGGCAUGGGCACCUUUGACUAAGUAUCACAGGUUCUGAUCUGUCACGAGAAGACUGCUUUAGUUAGCUUAAGCUCCUAUCAAGGGCAACUCUAAAAGGACCGGCCCUCACCAAAGAAACUGAUUGCUUACCAGCAGCCCCGAGGAUGAGGAAUUUCCCCAAAGCUGGCUCCCACCUUCCACCAGGAGAGGAUCUUCUCCUAAAACAACAGCCACGGUACAGGAGUGGUGAUGGGAAACAGCAAAGCUGCGAGAGGAACAGAGCGGAGCUUCUCGGGACGUUUCCCUCCUGCAAAGGCCAGACCUGCACGUUUGCCUUCAUUUCACAGAGAAUUAUUGAGUUACUGCUACACCCGCCCCCCAGCCCUCCCCGGGUGCCAUGGCACAGCGUGGGGUUGAGGGCUCGGGCCCCCAGACCAGAAUGCUGGAUUUGAAUCCUCGCUCUGCUGGCCACCCUUGGGAAGGGAUCUGACUCCCCUGGCCUCAGCUGUCUUGUCUGGAAAGCAGGAUGGCCAUAGCAGCAUUCCCUUAGCAUGAGGUGAGGAUUAGCUGAAGUCAUUCCUAGAACAACCACUGGCACGUAGUAAGUACUCAGUGUGUGUUGGUUGUUGCUAGGAUUACUUCUGUGCUAGGCACCUGUGGGUCUCUGGUCUGAAGGUGGUCACGAGCGGUUGAGACGGACGUUCCCACGUAAACACAAAAGGUAUGACAAGGAGUAUGGUUGAUGAGUUACCAAGUGAUGGAAAAGAAUUCAGUUCUGGGGAGCAGGCAGGGGGCGAGAUUGUUGUGGCAGGAGAAGCUUCACAGAGGAAGGAAGGCUUAAGCUGGGCUUGAAAGAUGUGCAAGAUUUGGCUGGACCCCAGAAAGGCAUGACAAAUGGGGGGAGAGCUCCAGGCAAGGGGCUAGAGCCCCAAGAAUCCACAAGAAUUAAGCUAGAAGUCAAAGCAUUACGCAACUCUGACGCUUUCAAGACUACAAGCCAAACCUCUGCAAUUAAGAUUUCCAAUCAAAGUGUUGGCCUUUCUAAUAGAGAAAGAAAUAUUGAUCUGUGUUAACUUCAUCUGACAAAACUAUGUUAUAAAGUAAGGGCAACAGAGCUUAGCGUGAAGAAAUCAGAAGAGGCAUAGAUCUGUUAUAAAUAGAGCUUCGAUUUAUAAAAGGGGAGGAUAGGUAUAUCUGAUAGAGAUGUUACAGAAAUAAAAUCAUAUUGGUUGGUUGAGGUAAAAAGGAU